UGGGGAAUUUUGGACAAUGGGGGAAACCCUGAUCCAGCCAUCCCGCGUGUGCGAUGAAGGCCUUCGGGUUGUAAAGCACUUUUGGCAGGAAAGAAACGUCAUGGGUUAAUACCCCGUGAAACUGACGGUACCUGCAGAAUAAGCACCGGCUAACUACGUGCCAGCAGCCGCGGUAAUACGUAGGGUGCAAGCGUUAAUCGGAAUUACUGGGCGUAAAGCGUGCGCAGGCGGUUCGGAAAGAAAGAUGUGAAAUCCCAGAGCUCAACUUUGGAACUGCAUUUAUAACUACCGGGCUAGAGUGUGUCAGAGGGAGGUGGAAUUUCGCGUGUAGCAGUGAAAUGCGUAGAUAUGCGGAGGAACACCGAUGGAGAAGGCAGACUCCUGGGAUAACACUGACGCUCAUGCACGAAAGCGUGGGGAGCAAACAGG
rnacentral:rRNA from 1 species